CUUCACCGACCCCAACCACAACGGCUCGGUGCGCCCCUGGCCGUACGUCGCCAGCAGCGCCUGCGCCUC
rnacentral:antisense_RNA from 1 species